ensembl:lncRNA
UGUGUUUGUGUUUGGCUGAAGAGGGAUGUGAAACCAAGAAAGCCCUCAUUGGCUAAAGCUGAGAGUUGGAACACAGCCAUUGGUAAGAUGGAUGAGAACGCACACAUUAUACAGUCAAGAACGUCUCCCUCAGACACAUCAGAUGCGGCGUAAAGUAUCAGAGUGACCAGCUAGCAUUGUGGUGUGGGGUACAAACAUGACGCUGGAAUGAUAAUAGCUGACUGUUUUGAAGAGAUGCAGGAAAGUCGAAAUGCUCAAGGUUACAGCAGAAUCCCAAAACAGGAUGGGCCCUGCUUAAGUUUAGCCUACUAUCUAGGGGGCUCUUGAGCAGCGAUGCCCUCUGUGUGGCACCAGGAAGUAAGCAGACGUCUAUCCUGAAGUACUGAUGCAAGUGACUCAUCCGUGACCUAUUUUUAAAAACCCAUUAGGUGGAAAAACGUAAACGUGUUCUGCACACUGUCGAUGGCACAUCACAACAUAGUUGCCUUUCCGAAAACGUCAACCUUUCCCUCAGACCCCCACCGUCGGAGAAUUCCUACACUCUGAGCGUCAUUUCCUGUCCCCGUAUUCCAGUGCACAGUGUCCUCGUGGCCAAAGGCGCACUAUAGACCCUUCCUUUCUGCACUCUAGAGAAGCCGGCAGUCACAGGGAGAAGGAGUCAUCAAGGCUGAGAGGUGGGACUGUGGCCACAGAGCGCAUACUUUCCAGUCCUGAAGGCCAGCAGCGGCUCCUCCUGUCCACACGGGCCUGCAAGAAACCUUGCGUUGAUCACGGCUCAGUUCACCAGCCACCUGCAGCAGGCACAUCGAACCUGGAGACAUCUACACACAAUCAGACAAUUACUUAGGUACAAAAUAUAGUCUAUUCUAAUAGACAAGAUACUGAUCUAUAAUUUUUAUAUAAAUCAAAUUACUAUUGAGUAACUCAAACCCUUUCUUUUUAUAUAUAAAAAAGUAUAUUUGUUUUUUUUCUUAAUUUAUANAUAUAUAAAUAUCUUUAAUUUUUU